rnacentral:lncRNA from 1 species
UGACUUUGAGUGGUGUUUGGAAGAUAUGCUGGGACCGGACGGGAUGAGCUCAUUUUUUUUCUUUUUUAGGAAGGAUCUAUUCAUGCACAGACACACAUCUACAAAACACACGCACACCACACGUGCACUACUAGACCUAUAACUACACACAAAUAACAAUUUCGUCCUUCUUAAGAUCACCGAGACCAUCAUGGCAUCAUAGACGACGGACACAUCGUAUUCCCAUUGUGGCUCCACGCGAUAGAGAGGCUACGGACAUAAAGUGGGGAAAACCCCGGUGGGAUAUUAUGCUCGAGUGGAGCUCAAACUUGUG